UGCGCCGUCAUUAGGGAGUAGCCUAUUUUUGCCUUGUAGCGAAAAUGCCCGUGUCAACAUACUCGUUUCUUUGGUAAACGUGGUGCGGGCGGCCUUCAUCGGCUGGCGAGACUAUAGACAUGCGGACCUGCCGGUAAGGUU
rfam:Sodalis sp. TME1 1.TCA.454Reads_contig_19878, whole genome shotgun sequence.